UCUCUGUUUGAAGAGGAGAGAGGAGAAGGACGGCAGCCUUUCUCUCUCACUCUCUUUGAACCCUGCUAAAGCCCUACCGGUCUCCGUUCUCCGACGAUCGGAUCGAGCAGUUCCUCGAAUCCAUUCGGGAUGGAACUCUGCAAGAACUGGAGGCGGGGGAGGAGCAGCCCCCCAAACGGCGUCAAGGUAUGGAUUGUCCUGGGGAUCACCGUCGCCGGCGUGCUCAUCCUCGCCGAGGCCACCCGCCGACGGAGGCGCAUGUCGAGGGGCGUGCCGCGCCGUGUCGAGUUCUUCGGCGCCUUCGUCGAGCGGUUCGAGCUGGCCCCCUCCCCCCAGCCGCCUCCCCCUGCAGCUCGCCACCCCCUCGCCGACCUCAAGUUCGCCGUAAGCGACAAUUUUGAGAUCAACGGUUAUGUUGCUGGGUACGGGAAUCCGGAUUGGAAGAGGACGCAUGAGCCUGCUAGCCAGACGGCGGUGGUGGUCUCGGCGCUUCUGGAGCGUGGAGCAACGUGCGUCGGGAGGACUGUCAUGGAUGAAUUUGCAUUCGGUGUAACAGGAGAUAACUUGCACUAUGGUGCCCCAUUUAACCCAGAAUUGCCAUCUCUGGUCCCUGGAGGAUCAUCCAGUGGUUCUGCUGUGGCUGUUGCUGCUGACCUUGUUGACUUUGCUCUUGGUACUGACACCAUUGGAGGCAUGAGAAUUCCUGCAUCAUUUUGUGGAAUUUUUGGAUUUAAACCCUCUCAUGGAACUAUAUCUAACAUUGGGGUGUUAACAAACUCACAGAGUUUAGAUACUAUUGGAUGGUUUGCACGGGAUCCAUCUAUCCUUCAUUGUGUUGGGCAUAUAUUACUGCAAGCAUCUGCAAUGGGACCAAAAAGGACCAGGCGGUUUAUAUUAGCUGAUGAUUGCUUUCAGAUUUUAAGGGUUCCUAAGCAUAAAACGGUGCAAGUUUUAGGCAAAGCUGUUGAAAAUUUGUCUGGCUACCAGCCUUUGAAGCAUAUGAAUAUCAGUCAGUAUAUCGCUACAAAUGUAUUGAGCUUGAAGGAAUUUGUCAAGUCAUCCACAAAAAUGCAACAUGGACAAUCUACUUUGAGGGCAAUUUCUUUAGCUAUGGUUUUGCUCCAAAGAUAUGAAUUCAAAACAAACCAUGAGGAUUGGUUUAAUACAACAAAGCCCAGAAUCGGUAUAGAUAUUUCCUCUCAAGUUCUUGCAGCUGUGAACUCCACACAGGAUAACAUCAAGUCUUUGUAUAAAAUGCGUUUAGAACUGAGAAGUGCAUUGAACAAACUUUUGAAGGAUGAUGGAAUUUUGGUAAUUCCAACAGUCACAGAAUUUCCUUUUAAACGUGAUUCUAGGAAGAAGAUAACUCCUGAUAUUGAAGAUCAUCUACAUGCAUUACUGAGCAUUGCUGGGAUGUCUGGCUGUUGUCAGAUCACAGUCCCUUUAGGAAAGCAUGAGAGCUAUCCCAUUUCUAUAUCAUAUAUAGCAGCACAUGGAGCAGAUAAAUUUCUUCUUGAUACUGUUUUGGAUAUGUAUUCGUCUCUCCAAGAACAGAUUACAAUUGCAUCCAACUUGGUGCCAACACCUGAUACCAAUGGGGACAUGGAUGCAUCAGAAAUAUUGAAAGAAAAGGGAAAUGCUGCAUACAAGGGAACACAGUGGAACAAGGCUGUUAGCUUCUACUCUGAAGCUAUUAAACUGAACAAUGCAAAUGCAAUAUAUUACUGCAACAGGGCAGCAGCUUAUCUGAAACUGGCUUGUUUCCAGCAGGCUGAAGCAGAUUGCAGCCAGGCUCUUUUGUUGGAUAAGAAGAAUGUAAAAGCAUAUUUGAGGCGAGGAACUGCCAGGGAAAUGCUCUUGUGUUAUAAAGAAGCUCUUGAAGAUUUUAAGCAUGCCUUGGUUCUGGAACCACAAAACAAGGAUGCCGUUGAUGCAGAGAAGAGAUUAAGAAAACUGAUGGCCUGAAGUCAUGCUCAACAACCACUCCUGGAAGCGAGAAGCAUGAAGCUCAUCAGAAGGCCGAAAAGUGUUUUGGACAUCCCGAAAAUGAUCCAGUUUUUGAACACAAUCAACUUUUCUUGGAGCAUUCAUCACGGUCAUGCUCAGACACAAUUAACUUCAUGAGCAUUUAUCAAGGUCGCAGUGUUGUGAAUACCAUACGCAGCCAAAGGAGAAUAGAGGUCGAAGGGAUAGAGAGGAGCACGAGAAUCAUAUGAAUAAGAACCACAAGAUCUGGUAUGAAGAGAAGCAUGGAAGGAGAAGGGAGAUGGAUGGAUAAAAGAGAGGAGCACGAGAAGCGUAAGGAAGAAGAGUUGAAAGUUAGCGAACCACCUGCGGUCCUACGACGAGAGCCACUUGAGG